GACGAACGCUGGCGGCGUGCUUAACACAUGCAAGUCGAACGGAAAGGCCCUGCUUUUGUGGGGUGCUCGAGCGGCGAACGGGUGAGUAACACGUGAGUAACCUGCCCUUGACUUUGGGAUAACUUCAGGAAACUGGGGCUAAUACCGGAUAGGAGCUCCUGCUGCAUGGUGGGGGUUGGAAAGUUUCGGCGGUUGGGGAUGGACUCGCGGCUUAUCAGCUUGUUGGUGGGGUAGUGGCUUACCAAGGCUUUGACGGGUAGCCGGCCUGAGAGGGUGACCGGCCACAUUGGGACUGAGAUACGGCCCAGACUCCUACGGGAGGCAGCAGUGGGGAAUAUUGCACAAUGGGCGGAAGCCUGAUGCAGCAACGCCGCGUGCGGGAUGACGGCCUUCGGGUGGGAAACCGCUUUCGCCUGUGACGAAGCGUGAGUGACGGUAAUGGGUAAAGAAGCACCGGCUAACUACGU
rnacentral:rRNA from 1 species